rnacentral:pre_miRNA from 1 species
CAUCCCUUGCAUGGUGGAGGGUGCACUUGCUGAAAACCCCUCCCACAUGCAGGGUUUGCA